rnacentral:ncRNA from 1 species
UAAAGGUUUGGUCCUGGCCUUUUUAUUAGUUAGUAGUAAAAUUAUACAUGCAAGUAUCAGCAGCCCAGUGAGAAUGCCCUUAAAAUCUUAUACAGAUUAAGAGGAGUAGAUAUCAAGCACACCAAUUGGUAGCUAAUGACAUCUUGCUUAGCCACUCCCCCACGGGUUACAGCAGUAACAAAAAUUUAGCAAUUAACGAAAGUUAGACUAAGUUAUACUACUUUAGGGGUGGUAAAUUUCGUGCCAGCCACCGCGGUCAUACGAUUAACCCAAACUAAUAAAUAUCGGCGUAAAGCGUGUCCAGGAUAAUAAUAACAAUAAAGAUAAGUUAUUUCUACACUGUAAAAUGUUAUAGAAAUACUAAAAAUAAACCACGAAAGUGACUUUACUACUCCUUACUACACGAUAGCUAAGACACAAACUGGGAUUAGAUACCCCACUAUGCUUAGCCCUAAACUUAAAUAAUUUAAAACAAAAUUAUUCGCCAGAGAACUACUAGCAACAGCUUAAAACUUAAAGGACUUGGCGGUGCUUUAUAUCCACCUAGAGGAGCCUGUUAUAUAAUCGAUAAACCCCGAUAUACCUCACCACUACUUGCUAAUUCAGCCUAUAUACCGCCAUCUUCAGCAAACCCUUAAAAGGCAAAAUAGUAAGCUUAAUAAUACCCGUAAAAACGUUAGGUCAAGGUGUAGCCUAUGUAGUGGUAUCUAAUGGGCUACAUUUUCUGGUCCAGAAUAUUUAACGGAUAUUUUUAUGAAAUUAAAAAUUUAAGGAGGAUUUAGUAGUAAACUAAGAAUAGAGAGCUUAGUUGAAUUAGGCCAUGAAGCACGUACACACCGCCCGUCACCCUCCUCAAGUAAAUACAUUUUCCCUAAACAUAUUUUCACUAAUAAAAUACAAGAGGAGAUAAGUCGUAACAAGGUAAGCAUACUGGAAAGUGUGCUUGGAAAACU